UACGGGGGGGGGCAAGCGUUGUUCGGAAUUACUGGGCGUAAAGGGCGCGUAGGCGGCCUGCUAAGUCGGACGUGAAAUCCCUCGGCUCAACCGGGGAACUGCGUCCGAUACUGGCGAGGCUUGAAUCCGGGAGAGGGAUGUGGGAAUUCCAGGUGUAGCGGUGAAAUGACGUAGAUAUCUGGAGGAACACCAGUGGCGAAGGCGGCAUCCUGGACCGGCAUUGACGCUGAGGCGCGAAAGCUAGGGUAGCAAACGGG
rnacentral:rRNA from 1 species